GUCCUAUUUCAAAACACAAUGCUUGUGUAGUCACCGAGGCAGAUAGCCCUCAGGGCCAUGUGCAACUUCUUUAGCCAAGAAGAGAAUAAAAAUACCUUUUAACUGUUUGGGUCUUCCCUAGACCUUCUUUUUCAGGAUCUCUCAGGCUGUCCUCCAGAAACAUUAGGUUGAAUUACCAGUCCUUUCACCUUCAUCGCAUGUACCAACAGCUCGCAAAGAGGUCUGUUUGAUCCUUGGAGAAAUAAGACAAAUGAAAUGUGAGCCUACAGAAUCAUAAGGUCCUGCACGGAAACCCCUGGGACGGUGAUGAUGGUCUGGUGAUGGCACACUGCUGGCAACAUUCUCUUGUGGUGAACACAGAAAGACCCCUUCCUAAAGCAGACAGCAAAGAAAACCAGCAGUAUCACCUCAGUCUGCUCAGCCUGCUGAUUAAAGGACUGGAAAUAUGGAAAGAGGGAAGAAAACGGGUGCUGCUGGCUGCAUGCAAACACCAGAGUGCUACAGCACUCUACCUGGAACUCUCUGCAGUGUUGUACAGAACCAAUGAUGUUUCAACUUCUGGUACUGCGCUGUCAGUGACGGGGGCUUCAGGGCACAGCAGACAGACCACGACAGCUGACCUGAACUGGCCAAAGGGAUACUUCAUGCAGUAUAGCAUCACGUGAAAAUACUGUAAAACUGAGGGAAGUUGGCUGGAUGGGUAACCACUGCUUGGAGACUGACUGGGCACCAGCUGGUGGGUGAUGAGCAAUUGCAUUGUAAAUCACUUGUCUGGUAAAUGC
ensembl:lncRNA